AAUUAAUUUGUAUCUUCUAUGGUACUUUUAGGGAAUUUACUUUUUAUGGUGGUUGUAUGAUAAUGGUUAUGUGACUUUUUGUGAAUGAAUUGUUUACUUGCUUCAAGAGAACUGUUUAUUUGUUUUCAAAUAUAUUUUUUGAAUUGUUGUAUAAAUUUACGCAUUAUUAAAUGUCAUUGCAUAAUACAUCUGCUCCAGGAACAGAGCAUUUAUUAAUUGGAAUGUGGUUCAGUACAUCUUGACAUUUGCACUGAAAGUUAUUGUACGAAUAUUUAUAUACUUAAUUUUUUAUUCCAUUAUAUGUAUAAUUUUUAUGGGUUUUUUCCCUGUAAAUGCUGGAAUGGUUGGUUUGUUUUAUUUUGUGUUCAAUGAAAAAAAGAUCUUUAAAUCCGAAUGUUG
rnacentral:misc_RNA from 1 species